GUUUGCGUCUGAACCGUUACUUCCGGGUGUAAAUCCGUUUUCAUUUGAUGUUUCUUUGUAUUUCAUCUAAAUAAAGCUACGAAAUAAAGCUACAAAACGUUUAGAAAAUGAACCGAAUAUUUGGACGCGGAAAGCCGAAGUCGCCUACUCCAAAUCUGUCGGACUGUAUCGGAAAUGUGGAUGCAAGAUCAGAGUCCAUAGAGAAGAAGAUUGGCAGACUAGACGUUGAGCUUGUGAAGUACAAAGAUCAGAUGAAGAAGAUGAGAGACGGGCCCUCGAAGAACAUGGUCAAACAGAAGGCUUUGAGAGUCCUGAAGCAGAAGAGAAUGUAUGAAGGUCAAAGAGAGCAGCUGGCUCAGCAGUCUUUCAACAUGGAGCAGACAAACUACACCAUCCAGACAUUAAAGGACACCAAAACAACCGUGGAGGCCAUGAAGAUCGGUGCAAAGGAAAUGAAAAUAGCUUACAAGGACGUCAAAGUUGAUCAAAUCGAUGAUCUACAGGACCAACUGGAGGACAUGAUGGAGGACGCCAGCGAGGUUCAAGAGGCGCUGAGCCGCAGCUACGGCACUCCAGAUAUAGACGAGGAUGAUCUUGAAGCAGAUGGAAAACAUCUGGAAACGGGCUGACGGCAGUCUUAACAUGACAGACACUUUGGAAGCAAAGCCAGGCCGUGGAUUCGACCUCUUUCCCCCGAGGAAGUGAUGGACAAGGCCAGAACAGCCAUAACCCAGCACCGUGGAGAUCCAUCCAACAGAAGACACCUGCUGGGUUUCUUUGAAAUCCAGUUUGGUCUGUUUCGCGGGCAGACUUUCCGUUGGGUGGCGGAAAAUUAUCUUGGCUAUGCUGCUUACCUGGUGGCAGCAAUGAAAAGAGACCCGACAGGAGGCUGCAAAGACUCCAAAGAACAUGCCCUGAAUAAGGGCUGUUUCAAAGAGUAUAUUGAGCUCUUUCCUUCUGGUAGAAUUGCCAUUGCCAUGAAAGAAGAACAAUAUGCUGCCAAAGCUCCCUAGCACACUCCCCCUGCCCAGGUCACUCCCCCUGCCCAGCACUUGACCACCACAGAGCAUGCUGCUCCCACCCAGCAAGCUGGGACCAGCCAGCAUGCCUCAACCUCUUCACUCCGCUCCCUUUUGGUUGGACAGAAGGUGCCAAAUCAAAGGAGCCUGACAAACGCAGUGAAACGGCUGGUUUCCCCCCCUCAAAACCAAACCCUCUUUGGUCCGUGCACGGCAAAAACCCCACCUCAUCCAACUGCCUGUGUCCUUCGAGGCAGCAAAGGCCCCAGCAUCCACCCUCACACACCCAAACUAGAGUUUGUUACAUUAAGUAAACACAGAGACAUUAUCUACAACAUUUUAACAUGACUGAAACUGGCUGAAAUACUGUCUUCACUUUAAUAAGUGUAGUCAAGGUUAUUAAAGGAUCCUUAUUUACUUGAAUACCACCUUUCCUUUCUUGGGUCCAAAACAAACAAUUACUUAAGAGACAUACAAUAAGCAAGUGUGUGUGUCGGAUGGAAUAAAGCAGAACAACACUUUCUGGGUUUCCCCCAUAACUUUAGGGAAGUCAAAUUACAGAAAAGUACAAAUACAUCUCAAUCUUUAGUAAUUCAUAAUAAUAAGUAUUCUGUUGGAUUUGCAGGUGCUUCAUUGGGGCUCACAGUCCUGCACAGUGGCCAAACUGCAACAGAGCGGUGGAGGCCCGGUUCAAAAUGGUGAUACGUGCUUAUAAGCACAUCCGAGAGUGCGUGAUCACCAACGCCAAGGUGAUGACUGAGACCACCAUCCAGCUCCCAGAAGUGAAUGUUGCAACUGUCACACAAUGGUUCAGCAGGCGCUGCAGGUCUCAGGAAGAGCAGGUCCUGAAGCAGGGUAUCCCCGCUCCUGACGCUCGCAUGGCAGGACCUGAGCAGCUUCUUGUGGCAAUGCAGAAAGGGACAUCUCUGUAUCCUGGCAGUUUGGCUGAGCCUCACACCUUUGUUCUGCCACCAAACACUGCUGGUGAGGCAAAGCUCCAGAAGAGAUCACAACCAGUGGCCAUCUCACAGGUCCCAC